UACGUAGGGUGCAAGCGUUGUCCGGAAUUAUUGGGCGUAAAGAGCUCGUAGGCGGUCUGUCGCGUCUGCUGUGAAAACUCAGGGCUUAACCCUGAGCUUGCAGUGGGUACGGGCAGACUAGAGUGCGGUAGGGGAGACUGGAAUUCCUGGUGUAGCGGUGAAAUGCGCAGAUAUCUGGAGGAACACCGGUGGCGAAGGCGGCGUUCUGGACUGCAACUGACACUGAGGAACGAAAGCCAGGGGAGCAAACGGG
rnacentral:rRNA from 1 species